UACGUAGGGACCAAGCGUUGUUCGGAUUUACUGGGCGUAAAGAGCUCGUAGGCGGUCUGUCGCGUCGGUCGUGAAAACUUGGGGCUUAACCCUGAGCUUGCGGUCGAUACGGGCAUGACUGGAGUUCGGUAGGGGAGACUGGAAUUCCUGGUGUAGCGGUGAAAUGCGCAGAUAUCAGGAGGAACACCGGUGGCGAAGGCGGGUCUCUGGGCCGAUACUGACGCUGAGGAGCGAAAGCGUGGGGAGCGAACAGG
rnacentral:rRNA from 1 species